GACGAACGCUGGCGGCGUGCUUAACACAUGCAAGUCGAACGCUGAAGCUCAGCUUUUGUUGGGUGGAUGAGUGGCGAACGGGUGAGUGACACGUGAGUAACCUGCCUCCUUCUUUGGGAUAACGCCCGGAAACGGGUGCUAAUACUGGAUAUUCACUGGUCUUCGCAUGGGGGUUGGUGGAAAGGGGUUUUCUGGUGGGGGAUGGGCUCGCGGCCUAUCAGCUUGUUGGUGGGGUGAUGGCCUACCAAGGCUUUGACGGGUAGCCGGCCUGGGAGGGUGACCGGUCACAUUGGGACUGAGAUACGGCCCAGACUGCUACGGGAGGCAGCAGUGGGGAAUAUUGCACAAUGGGCGCAAGCCUGAUGCAGCGACGCCGCGUGAGGGAUGGAGGCCUUCGGGUUGUGAACCUCUUUCGCUCAUGGUCAAGCCGCAACAAUGGUUGUGGUGAGGGUAGUGGGUAAAGAAGCGCCGGCUAACUACGUG
rnacentral:rRNA from 1 species